rnacentral:rRNA from 1 species
AGUAAAUUUUAGGUGAGCCCUGCCCGGUGAAAUUAUUUUAACGGCCGCAGUACUCUGACUGUGCUAAGGUAGCAUAAUAAUUUGUCUUUUAAUUGAAGACUGGAAUAAACGGGUUAAUGAUUAAUAUCUGUUUCUAUAAAAUUAAAUUUAAUUUACUUUAAAAGGUGAAAAUACCUUUAAUAAUUAUAUUAGACGAGAAGACCCUUAGAGUUUUAACUAUUAUUUAUUUUCUCGUUUUUGUUGGGGCGACAAGGAAGACAUUUAAACUUUCCUUAAUUUAUUAGUAUUAAUGAAAUAUAUUAUUUAAAAAUAAACUACCUAAGGGAUAACAGCAUAAUUUAUUAAUAAGAUUAUGACCUCGAUGUUGGACUAAGGACUUAUAAGCUAACCGCCCAAUAAGAUUGUUCUGUUCGAACC